UAUGCACGCUGGCGGCGUGCUUAACACAUGCAAGUCGAACGGAAAGGCCCAAGCUUGCUUGGGUGCUCGAGUGGCGAACGGGUGAGUAACACGUGGGUGAUCUGCCCUGCACUUUGGGAUAAGCCUGGGAAACUGGGUCUAAUACCGGAUAGGACCAUCGUUUAGUGUCGGUGGUGGAAAGUUUUUCGGUGUGGGAUGAGCUCGCGGCCUAUCAGCUUGUUGGUGGGGUAAUGGCCUACCAAGGCGUCGACGGGUAGCCGGCCUGAGAGGGUGUACGGCCACAUUGGGACUGAGAUACGGCCCAGACUCCUACGGGAGGCAGCAGUGGGGAAUAUUGCACUAUGGGCGCAAGCCUGAUGCAGCGACGCCGCGUGGGGGAUGACGGCCUUCGGGUUGUAAACUCCUUUCGCCAAGGACGAAGCGUUUUGUGACGGUACUUGGAGAAGAAGCACCGGCUAACUACGUG
rnacentral:rRNA from 1 species